ensembl:snoRNA Gm25711 small nucleolar RNA SNORA17
CCUACCCAUAGAGGUGGCCCAGGUGUGGCUGCUAUGUAAUAUGUACAUCCCUAGGUAAUAGAGAAGAGGCUAUGUCUGGACUAAGUAUUCUAACCUGUGAAUAUCCGAGUCAUUAGAAGUCUAACAUU